GGAGCGGUGGCUGAGUGGUCGAAAGCGCCGGUUUGCUAAAUCGGUGAGCCGGGCAACCGGCUCCGCAGGUUCAAAUCCUGUCCGCUCCG
rnacentral:tRNA from 2 species